rnacentral:rRNA from 1 species
CCUACGGGGCGCAGCAGUGAGGAAUAUUGGUCAAUGGACGAUAGUCUGAACCAGCCAAGUAGCGUGAAGGAUGACUGCCCUAUGGGUUGUAAACUUCUUUUAUAUGGGAAUAAAAUGUUCCACGUGUGGGAUUUUGUAUGUACCAUAUGAAUAAGGAUCGGCUAACUCCGUGCCAGCAGCCGCGGUAAUACGGAGGAUCCGAGCGUUAUCCGGAUUUAUUGGGUUUAAAGGGAGCGUAGGUGGAUUGUUAAGUCAGUUGUGAAAGUUUGCGGCUCAACCGUAAAAUUGCAGUUGAAACUGGCAGUCUUGAGUACAGUAGAGGUGGGCGGAAUUCGUGGUGUAGCGGUGAAAUGCUUAGAUAUCACGAAGAACUCCGAUUGCGAAGGCAGUUCACUGGACUGCAACUGACACUGAGGCUCGAAAGUGUGGGUAUCAAACAGGAUUAGAUACCCGAGUAGUC